AACGAACGCUGGCGGCAUGCCUAACACAUGCAAGUCGAACGAGACCUUCGGGUCUAGUGGCGCAUGGGUGCGUAACGCGUGGGAACCUGCCCUUAGGUUCGGAAUAACUCCCCGAAAGGGGUGCUAAUACCGGAUAAUGUCUUCGGACCAAAGAUUUAUCGCCUUUGGAUGGGCCCGCGUUGGAUUAGCUAGUUGGUAGGGUAAAAGCCUACCAAGGCGACGAUCCAUAGCUGGUCUGAGAGGAUGAUCAGCCACACUGGGACUGAGACACGGCCCAGACUCCUACGGGAGGCAGCAGUGGGGAAUAUUGGACAAUGGGCGAAAGCCUGAUCCAGCAAUGCCGCGUGAGUGAUGAAGGCCUUAGGGUUGUAAAGCUCUUUUACCCGGGAUGAUAAUGACAGUACCGGGAGAAUAAGCUCCGGCUAACUCCGU
rnacentral:rRNA from 1 species